rnacentral:rRNA from 1 species
UACAGAGGUCUCAAGCGUUGUUCGGAUUCAUUGGGCGUAAAGGGUGCGUAGGCGGCGCGGUAAGUCGGGUGUGAAAUCUCGGGGCUUAACUCCGAAACUGCAUUCGAUACUGCCGUGCUUGAGGACUGGAGAGGAGACUGGAAUUUACGGUGUAGCGGUGAAAUGCGUAGAUAUCGUAAGGAAGACCAGUGGCGAAGGCGGGUCUCUGGACAGUUCCUGACGCUGAGGCACGAGGGCCAGGGGAGCAAACGGG